UACGUAGGGUGCGAGCGUUGUCCGGAAUUAUUGGGCGUAAAGAGCUUGUAGGCGGUUUGUCGCGUCUGCUGUGAAAUUUCGGGGCUCAACCCCGAACUUGCAGUGGGUACGGGCAGACUAGAGUGCGGUAGGGGAGACUGGAAUUCCUGGUGUAGCGGUGAAAUGCGCAGAUAUCAGGAGGAACACCGGUGGCGAAGGCGGGUCUCUGGGCCGUAACUGACGCUGAGGAGCGAAAGCGUGGGGAGCGAACAGG
rnacentral:rRNA from 1 species